UAUCUCUCCGUACGGGGAAGGAUGAGAAGCUUCGACUAAGGUUCGAUUCGAGCGCAGCGAGAAAACGUU
rnacentral:sRNA from 1 species